CCUACGGGAGGCAGCAGUGGGGAAUCUUGGGCAAUGGAGGCAACUCUUACCGAGCAAUGCCGCGUGAAUGAAGAAGGUCUUCGGAUUGUAAAGUUCUUUAAUUGGGGAAGAAAAAGAUGAAGGUACCCAAGGAAUAAGUCCCGGCUAACUACGUGACAGCAGCCGCGGUAAUACGUAGGGGGCAAGCGUUGUUCGGAGUGACUGGGGGUAAAGAGUGUGUAGGCGGUGUAGUAAGUCCGAAGUGAAAUACGUAGAGCUUAACUCAGAUGCUGCUUCUAAAACUGCUAUACUUGAGUGCAGUAGAGGAGAGUGGAAUUCCUAGUGUAGCGGUGAAAUGCGUAGAUAUUAGGAGGAACAUCAGUGGCGAAGGCGACUUUCUGGACUGUAACUGACGCUGAGGCACGAAAGUGUGGGGAGCAAACAGGAUUAGAUACCCUUGUAGUC
rnacentral:rRNA from 1 species